rnacentral:lncRNA from 1 species
CGAGAUAAAUAUAACUCUAAUUUGUUAAAAUUAAAAAAGAUAAAUCUACAAACAAACUCAAAGUAUUCAAGUUAAUAGCAUAAAUCAACAUAAUGCUUACAAUUAUAACAAACAAAAUGUGAAAUGUCCGAAAUACACAUGUCUUCAGACACGUAAUAUUGAAGAUACACAAAUCAUUGACUGAAUUUAAAUUUAUACUUAAUCGAAAUUACUGUAUCAAUUUAAAUCAAAUAAACACCGCACCAAAAUAAAAAAAUCAAAAGGAAAAACAAAAAUAAAAAAACUUAAAUAUCGUAAAACCUGCUAGAGUUCGAUGGCAACGCCUGUACCAAAUGCUCGAAUUGGACUUAGUAUUUCUCAUUGUUUUGUCAACAAUAUUGAUACUUUCUCUUCAAUUGAUCCAAACAUAGGUGCAUUGCAUUGUGUGGAUCGACAUGACAAUUUCAUAGCACUAAUUCCAGUUGGCAAAG